GGAUAAUUAUGAGGGCAUUUUCUAAUCAUUUUCUUAAAUCUUUCCCAACUCUCAUAAAUGGAUUCUCGUUCAAACUGAAUAAAAGAAGUUAUGUCAUUUCUAUGUUU